rnacentral:lncRNA from 1 species
GCGACGGCGGCGGUCGGCGGGAAAGGUUGCCAGAGCACGGGGCGACCCCGGGGGAGGGUCUGUAGGUGGCGCAGCCCCGAGCCUCCACACAACCCGAGAGGAGAGAGGGAGAGAGAAAGAGAGGGAGAGGGAGGAAAGUGGUGGCUGUCGUGGUGGUUGGCCGGCCGAGCUCGGUCGGCGGCGGCCUGGGCGCGCGCAGCAGGUGCAGGGGAAGGAGAGGGAGGCGGCUGGGUGGUUGGCUAGGGCUAGGUUAGGGUUAGGUGAAACAAAACCCUAAAGAGCUUAUAUAUACAAGGUGCAACUUGCAAAAAGGUCCACCAAACACCGGUAAUUCAUACCGAGUCCCUCACAGCACGACUAAAAUGCACGAAUACCCCUCCACGUGCGAUCUCACACGAAACGGUACAUAAAAUAUCGCGACUUUUGCGAAAAUACCGUUUUGCCACUACCGAC